UACGGGGGGGGCAAGCGUUGUUCGGAAUUACUGGGCGUAAAGGGCUCGUAGGCGGCCCUCUCAGUCGGAUGUGAAAUCCCUCGGCUUAACCGGGGAACUGCGUCCGAUACUGGAUGGCUUGAGUUUGGGAGAGGGAUGCGGAAUUCCAGGUGUAGCGGUGAAAUGCGUAGAUAUCUGGAGGAACACCGGUGGCGAAGGCGGCAUCCUGGACCAACACUGACGCUGAUGAGCGAAAGCCAGGGGAGCAAACGGG
rnacentral:rRNA from 1 species